rnacentral:tRNA from 4 species
GCAGGGAUGGUGUAACGGCAACAUCUCGAUCUCCAAAAUCGAUGUUCUAGGUUCAAAUCCUAGUCUCUGCG